CUUUCCCAAGCUGCCUGAGUAGAAGGAAACACACAGCUCCCCCAGAGCAGAGAGGCCCGCGAGAGGGAAAGCUGGCCCAGGCCCAGGGCAGGCUCGCCUCUGACUCUGCAGGGACAUUAUUCCCUCCCAGCCAGCAGGGAACUUCUGGAACUUCUAAACAGCACAUCCUCGAGCCAGCCCAGGCCCCCACAGCAUCCUGCACCCCAGGUUUACAAGCUUUUUAAUGAUGGAGUUUUGCUCUUACGCCCAGGCUGGAAUGAAGUGGCAUGAUCUUGGCUCACUGCAACCUCUGCCCCACCAAAAUUCAAGCAAUUCUCCUGCCUCAGCCUCCCGAGUAGCUGGGAUUACAGGCAUGCACCACCACACCUGCCUAAUUUUUGUAUUUUUAGUAGAGAUGGGGUUUUGCCAUGUUGCCCAGGCUGGUCUCGAACUCCUGACCUCAAUUGAUUCACCUACCAAAGCCUCCCAAAGUGCUAGGAUUACAAGUGUGAGCCACCAUGCCAGGUCUGAGAACAGUUUUAAUCUGGAUGUCACCCAUCGCUGAGCCAGAGGGAAAGACAGCUCAAAGGGUUUUGAAUUAGCAAUUGAAUUCUGGAAUUCUUGGCCCAGAAGUGAAAUGUAUGACUUCCACUCACAACCCAUUGGCUAAAGCUGGUCACAUGGCCCCAUCGAACUACAGAGAGCCAGGAAGAGAGAUCCUACCAUAUGCCAGAAGGCAGAGAGGCACAGAUAUUUAGUGAGCAUUGGAAAGACAUCUAGAAACCACCAAGGAAGAAUGACAUUUGAACCAA
rnacentral:lncRNA from 1 species